UGAGAUAACAUAUAGAAAAGAUUGGAAGCCAACAUAAUAUUGCUUCCUAAGUAAAGAUCGUACCUCUAACCAUUUUUCCUAUAUUCUUUUCUCUCUCUGUCCCGUAUCUUCCACUUCUCUGUUUCCAUCCUUCCUUUCCUUUUCGGUUUUUUUUUUCUUCUUUUCCUCGCAUCAUCAAUUUUCAACCCCAAUUCAAACAUCACAAGAAUGAUAAUACAUCUAGGUAAAACUAUCGCAUAAAACAAAUGAUUUUGGGUAGCAUUUUGAGUUAGAGUUUGUGCUCUAAGAAAGGAGAAGAAUACCCAUACAUGGAAGGUGUGCUCUUUGGUGAUCCUUGAGAUUCGAUGGAAAUUGCUUUGGUGUUCAUUCCGGGAGGCAUUGCUAGGAAUGAAAUUGAUUAGCCAUAGUUGUGAGUUGAUGACGAUCCUUAUUUUAAUUAUCGUUAUUAUUGAUAUUUUGGUAAUUUUAUAAGUUAAAGUAUUUACCAAAAUGGGAAGCACACCCUUUGUUGUUGAAAUUUAUGUUUAAGGUCAUGAAUAUUGAUAUGGUCUCUAUUUGAACUUGUCUAUGAUUUAUAGAGCAAAGGUUUUAUAAUUGAGAUAUGGUUGCAUUUACUACUGACAUAAGUUUUGAGAUGUUGACAAAAAAAUGGUUUUUGAGAAAUAUGUUUUUGUUUUGAAAAUUAUUAUGAUACUAUUAUACACUCCAUUUGGAUUGGGUGUUGGAUUUACCUAUGAUUUAUGGUUUAUAAAGUAGUGAAUUUAAGAAUUGAAAUUUGAUUUCAUGUAUAUUGGCACUAGUUUUCAUACGUUGUAAAGCAUAGUUUGAAAUAUGUGUUUUUGAAAGGAUUUGAUAUAUAUGUACGCGAUUUGAAUUUGGAUUUACUUAUGAUGAUAACUAGUAGGUUUUCGAUUGAGUUCUGAUGAAAGUAUUUUGAUAUAAGUUUCGUUAUUUUGCGAAAUAUGGUUUUAGACAUGUGCUUUAAGAUUGGGGUUUUGAAAAUUACGGUUAUAAUUAAUGACGACGACCUAGGUGCACCUAGUAUGUGAUUUCGGUUAGGUAGAGUUACUCCAUUAGACGGAGCCGCCCCUAUGGAAAGGCCAGUACCAUUAGGAGGAGAGGGCUAUCAAUGAGAUGUAAACUCCCUAAUUGAAAAUGUUUUACAAUUUAUUUUGAGUCGGGAGAAAAGAGCUAUCUAUUAGAUGGAGCUACGACUAAGAGAAAGACCACUCAUAGGAAAUUUCCAUCAACGAUAUGGAGCUAGUUCUCGAUUCAUCCAUUUUGAUUAUUUUCACUAAAGUUGGAUUUUUAUACUUUCUCUGAAGUUGAUUAUUUUGGAUUCAUUUCAUUAAAUCCGAUUGUUAUAGUCUAUUUGGAUUUGAUUAUUUGGAUUCCUUUUCAUUAUACAUGAUUUCUAUAUUUCCUUUAAAGUUGUUGAUUUGGAUUCACCUCUUACGAAAUUGAUAUUUUGAUAUAGUAUUAUUUGAUUUGAUAAAUUUACAAAAUUUUCUGAAUUUUCAUGGUAUACUCUUGAUUGUGAAUUUAUUAUAUUUUUAAAACGAUUACAAGCUUUGUAAAUUAAAAUCAGAUUUGAGAAAAUAAAAUAAUUGUGCUCUCGUGUGUUUCCUUUCUAGUUGGUGGUGGUUGUUGUCUCUCACUAAGUCCUUGUGACUUACUAUUUUAUUUUCUAUUUUUAUUCCAGAUUCCCAAGCAACUAAGUAGGAAGCUGCUAGUAGAUUCGAAGUUCAGUGGUGUCACUUUUUUGGUGGGCUACCUUGAUGAAUGUCUCCAUUGUUUAUGUACAUGUUGAGUCAAAGUAUCUGCAGCUAUUUGAAGUUUAGAAAUGUCUCAUUUUGAGUUGUGCAAAUAUGUAAAAAUGUCACUUUGAAAUUCUGGUUGAUGAUAAUAGUUUAUGAACAGGAUUUAGAUCUUCGUAAUGUUGAAAAUAUAGGGGUUGCUCUGUCG
rnacentral:lncRNA from 1 species